AGCGAACGCUGGCGGCAGGCCUAACACAUGCAAGUCGAGCGGCCGUAGCAAUACGGCAGCGGCAGACGGGAGAGUAACACGUGGGAACGUACCCUUCGGUUCGGAAUAACUCAGGGAAACUUGAGCUAAUACCGGAUACGUCCGUAAGGAGAAAGAUUUAUCGCCGAGGGAUCGGCCCGCGUCCGAUUAGCUAGUUGGUGGGGUAAUGGCCCACCAAGGCGACGAUCGGUAGCUGGUCUGAGAGGAUGAUCAGCCUCACUGGGACUGAGACACAGCCCAGACUCCUACGGGAGGCAGCAGUGGGGAAUAUUGGCCAAUGGGCGCAAGCCUGAUCCAGCCAUGCCGCGUGGGUGAUGAAGGCCCUAGGGUUGUAAAGCCCUUUCGGCGGGGAAGAUAAUGACGGUACCCGCAGAAGAAGCCCCGGCUAACUUCGUGCCAGCCGCCGCCGUAAGAC
rnacentral:rRNA from 1 species